GGGGCUUCGAACUAUCCACUCCCAACCCAUGUGAACUUAUCUCUUUGUUGCCUCGGCGCAAGCUACCCGGGACCUCGCGCCCCGGGGGGCCCGCCGGCGGACAAACCAAACUCUGUUAUCUUCGUUGAUUAUCUGAGUGUCUUAUUUAAUAAGUCAAAACUUUCAACAACGGAUCUCUUGGUUCUGGCAUCGAUGAAGAACGCAGCGAAAUGCGAUAAGUAAUGUGAAUUGCAGAAUUCAGUGAAUCAUCGAAUCUUUGGACGCACAUUGCGCCCAUUAGUAUUCUAGUGGGCAUGCCUGUUCGAGCGUCAUUUCAACCCCUAAGCACAGCUUAUUGUUGGGACUCUACGGCUUCGUAGUUCCCCAAAGACAUUGGCGGAGUGGCAGCAGUCCUCUGAGCGUAGUAAUUCUUUAUCUCGCUUUUGUUAGGCGCUGCCCCCCCGGCCGUAAAACCCCCAAUUUUUUCUGGUUGACCUCGGAUCAGGUAGGAAUACCCGCUGAACUUAAGCAUAUCAUAGGGCGGGAGGAAA
rnacentral:rRNA from 1 species